AGUGAACGCUGGCGGUAGGCCUAACACAUGCAAGUCGAACGGCAGCACAGUAAGAGCUUGCUCUUACGGGUGGCGAGUGGCGGACGGGUGAGGAAUACAUCGGAAUCUACUUUUUCGUGGGGGAUAACGUAGGGAAACUUACGCUAAUACCGCAUACGAUCUACGGGUGAAAGCAGGGGAUCUUCUGACCUUGCGCGAUUGAAUGAGCCGAUGUCGGAUUAGCUAGUUGGCGGGGUAAAGGCCCACCAAGGCGACGAUCCGUAGCUGGUCUGAGAGGAUGAUCGGCCACACUGGAACUGGGACACGGUCCAGACUCCUACGGGAGGCAGCAGUGGGGAAUAUUGGACAAUGGGCGCAAGCCUGAUCCAGCCAUACCGCGUGGGUGAAGAAGGCCUUCGGGUUGUAAAGCCCUUUUGUUGGGAAAGAAAAGCAGCAGGUUAAUACCCCGCUGUUCUGACGGUACCCAAAGAAUAAGCACCGGCUAACUUCGUG
rnacentral:rRNA from 1 species